rnacentral:rRNA from 1 species
UUGCUGCGGGAGGAGAAGGGCGUCUCUGUGGCAAUUCCACCGGCUCCGUCGGACAAUCAUGGUGAGCUAUCUCGCUGGCUCGUUGAAUGGUUUGCUGCUGCUGACGGGGACGAGCGGGAGGCAAUGAUUCAGGCCACUUAUGGACUAUGGCUCGCUAGGAAUGCAGCAAGAGAUGGGAAGAGGAUUGAUCAACCACAUGAAAUAAUGGAGUCAGUUUGCUCUCACAUGGCGGAAUGGAACAGCGUGCAUCAAUCCCCCUCGGUAAAAUUACCUCAUUCGGUAACCAAAACCUUGGAAGCACCUGAAGUUGGAUGGGUGAAGAUUAAUUCAGAUGGUGCAGUGCAUAAAGGAGGGAGUAAGGUUGGCGGUGGAGCUGUGCUUCGGGACCAUAAUGGGGCAUUUCUGGCCGGAGUGUGCCAUCUUUUUCCACACAUUCUGGAGCCUGAAGCAGCGGAGAUUUUGGCGUGUAGAAGAGCGCUGCAGGUUGCAGAGGAGAUCAAUGUACAGAACGUCCAUUUGGAGCUGGAUUGUUUGCCGGUGGUGCAAAUGAUCAACCAGAAGGGCAUCAAUUAUUCGGGACUGGGACCAUGGAUUCAGGAAAUCAAACACAUGCUGGAGACGAAGGAUCAGUACAAAGUGACGUGGGUUAGACGCACGGGUAAUGUUGCCGCGCAUAAAUUAGCAAGAGUAGGGGUAGGGGAUGAAUUGUGUAAGGUUUGGUUGGGGGUUCCCCCAGACUGCAUCUUGGAUGUAAUUUCGGAUGACAUUCCGAGCUACACUUAG